AUUGAACGCUGGCGGCAUGCCUUACACAUGCAAGUCGAACGGCAGCGGGGACUUCGGUCCGCCGGCGAGCGGCGAACGGGUGAGUAAUGUAUCGGAACGUACCUUUCAGUGGGGGAUAACGUAGCGAAAGUUACGCUAAUACCGCAUAUUCUCUGAGGAGGAAAGCAGGGGACCUUCGGGCCUUGUGCUGAUGGAGCGGCCGAUAUCAGAUUAGCUAGUUGGUGAGGUAAAGGCUCACCAAGGCGACGAUCUGUAGCGGGUCUGAGAGGAUGAUCCGCCACACUGGGACUGAGACACGGCCCAGACUCCUACGGGAGGCAGCAGUGGGGAAUUUUGGACAAUGGGCGCAAGCCUGAUCCAGCCAUGCCGCGUGAGUGAAGAAGGCCUUCGGGUUGUAAAGCUCUUUCGGACGGGAAGAAAUUGGUGGGGCUAAUAUCCCCAUCGGAUGACGGUACCGUAAUAACAAGCACCGGCUAACUUCGUGCCAGCCGCCGCAGUAAUAC
rnacentral:rRNA from 1 species